GGAUCCAGACUUUGAUCCUGGCUCAGGACGAACGCUGGCGGCGUGCCUAACACAUGCAAGUCGAACGGAACUUUUUUAAAAGAUUUCUUCGGAAUGAAUUUGAUUAAGUUUAGUGGCGGACGGGUGAGUAACGCGUGAGUAACCUGCCUCUGAGAGGGGAAUAACAUUCUGAAAAGAAUGCUAAUACCGCAUAAUGUAUAUUUAUCGCAUGGUAGAUAUAUCAAAGAUUUAUCGCUUAGAGAUGGACUCGCGUCCGAUUAGUUAGUUGGUGAGGUAACGGCUCACCAAGACCGCGAUCGGUAGCCGGACUGAGAGGUUGAACGGCCACAUUGGGACUGAGACACGGCCCAGACUCCUACGGGAGGCAGCAGUGGGGGAUAUUGCGCAAUGGGGGAAACCCUGACGCAGCAACGCCGCGUGAAGGAUGAAGGUCUUCGGAUUGUAAACUUCUUUUAUUAAGGACGAAGAAAGUGACGGUACUUAAUGAAUAAGCUCCGGCUAACUACGUGCCAGCAGCCGCGGUAAUACGUAGGGAGCAAGCGUUGUCCGGAUUUACUGGGUGUAAAGGGUGCGUAGGCGGCUUUGCAAGUCAGAUGUGAAAUCUAUGGGCUCAACCCAUAGCCUGCAUUUGAAACUGCAGAGCUUGAGUGAAGUAGAGGCAGGCGGAAUUCCCCGUGUAGCGGUGAAAUGCGUAGAGAUGGGGAGGAACACCAGUGGCGAGGGCGGCCUGCUGGGCUUUAACUGACGCUGAGGCACGAAAGCGUGGGUAGCAAACAGGAUUAGAUACCCUGGUAGUCCACGCUGUAAACGAUGAUUACUAGGUGUGGGGGGUCUGACCCCUUCCGUGCCGGAGUUAACACAAUAAGUAAUCCACCUGGGGAGUACGGCCGCAAGGUUGCAACUCAAAUGAAUUGACGG
rnacentral:rRNA from 1 species